rnacentral:rRNA from 1 species
AGCGUAAUAGCUCACUAGUCGAGUCGGCCUGCGCGGAAGAUGUAACGGGGCUAAAACUAUGUGCCGAAGCUGCGGAUGUAUACUUUGUAUACGUGGUAGGGGAGCGUUCUGUAAGCCGAUGAAGGUGUGUUGAGAAGCAUGCUGGAGGUAUCAGAAGUGCGAAUGCUGACGUGAGUAACGACAAAACGGGUGAAAAACCCGUUCGCCGAAAGACCANAAGGGUUCCAGUCCAACGUUAAUCGGGGCUGGGUGAGUCGACCCCUAAGGCGAGGCCGAAAGGCGUAGUCGAUGGGAAAAUGGUUAAUAUUCCAUUACUUCUGUGUAAUGCGAUGAGAGGACGGAGAAGGCUAAAUCAGCCUGGCGUUGGUUGUCCAGGUGAAAGGAUGUAGGCAUGUAUCUUAGGCAAAUCCGGGGUACUCUAUGCUGAGAUCUGAUAGCAAGCUGUACUUGUACAGCGAAGUGGUUGAUGCCAUGCUUCCAGGAAAAGUCUCUAAGCUUCAGUUACACAGGAAUCGUACCCGAAACCGACACAGGUGGUCAGGUCGAGUAGACCAAGGCGCUUGAGAGAACUCUGCUGAAGGAACUAGGCAAAAUGGUACCGUAACUUCGGGAGAAGGUACGCUGUUGUUGGUGAUGGAACUCGCUUCCUGAGCUGACGACAGCCGCAGAAACCAGGCCGCUGCAACUGUUUAUUAAAAACAUAGCACUCUGCAAACACGAAAGUGGACGUAUAGGGUGUGAUGCCUGCCCGGUGCUGGAAGGUUAAUUGAUGGGGUUAGCGUAAGCGAAGCUCUUGAUCGAAGCCCCAGUAAACGGCGGCCGUAACUAUAACGGUCCUAAGGUAGCGAAAUUCCUUGUCGGGUAAGUUCCGACCUGCACGAAUGGCAUAAUGAUGGCGGCGCUGUCUCCAGCAGAGGCUCAGUGAAAUCGAAAUCGCUGUGAAGAUGCAGUGUACCCGCGGCUAGACGGAAAGACCCCGUGAACCUUUACUGCAGCUUGACACUGAACUUUGACCUUACUUGUGUAGGAUAGGUGGGAGGCUUUGAAGCUGGAACGCUAGUUCCAGUGGAGCCGUCCUUGAAAUACCACCCUGGUAAUGUUGAGGUUCUAACUCUGUCCCGUGAUCCGGGACGAGGACCGUGUCUGGUGGGUAGUUUGACUGGGGCGGUCUCCUCCUAAAGAGUAACGGAGGAGUACGAAGGUGCGCUCAGCGUGGUCGGAAAUCACGCGUAGAGUAUAAAGGCAAAAGCGCGCUUAACUGCGAGACCCACAAGUCGAGCAGGUACGAAAGUAGGUCUUAGUGAUCCGGUGGUUCUGUAUGGAAGGGCCAUCGCUCAACGGAUAAAAGGUACUCUGGGGAUAACAGGCUGAUACCGCCCAAGAGUUCAUAUCGACGGCGGUGUUUGGCACCUCGAUGUCGGCUCAUCUCAUCCUGGGGCUGAAGCAGGUCCCAAGGGUAUGGCUGUUCGCCAUUUAAAGAGGUACGCGAGCUGGGUUUAGAACGUCGUGAGACAGUUCGGUCCCUAUCUACCGUGGGCGCUGGAAAUUUGAGAGGAUCUGCUCCUAGUACGAGAGGACCAGAGUGGACGAACCUCUGGUGUACCGGUUGUGACGCCAGUCGCAUCGCCGGGUAGCUAUGUUCGGAAGGGAUAACCGCUGAAAGCAUCUAAGCGGGAAGCCUACCUCAAGAUAAGAUUUCCCUAGGACUUUAUGUCCUCUAAAGAGCCGUUCGAGACUAGGACGUUGAUAGGUUGGAUGUGGAAGCAUAGUGAUAUGUGAAGCUGACCAAUACUAAUUGCUCGUGAGGCUUGACUAUACAACACCCAAGCAGUUG